UCGGAACCUCUGAUAAGCUACCGACAGAAAACCAUGUUUUAGAAAGCAUUUCUUUUUGUGUGUAAUAUCGAAUCAUUUGUUACCAUUAUGAUAAAACAAAUGGUCCAUCAGGGAAUGUUUCUUAAAACCAUGACGGAUAUGUACAAUAGUUUUUUAAAACCAUGACGGAUAUGUACAAUAGCAGUUUCUUUUCCAUGCCAAGUCAAUCCUCUAAAAUUCCUGGACUGUUACCACGGAAAUAGUUUUCCAAGGAGUCAAUAUUGCAUGACUAAUAUGUGAUGAAAAUCGACAUUGCUUGAUCAUUGGGUAUAAGUGUAGUGGGUCUCAUUGUUGACAACUGUAAGAGAGUUGCUGAUAGUCACAAGGACGUUAGUAUGACUUGGUGAUGCUGCUGGCAACCAAAUAAACAUUUCAAUUGAUACAUGUAUUACAGCUAGCUGUACACUAUGGUACAGUGUGAUGAAGUUAUAUGACAGAUUCAGUCACCUGUGGACCAGUGAUGGUCUUGUCAUUCUUUCUCUCAGACAUUGAUCUGCCUGGACCUCAAGUAGUCCACUGAAUCCACAACCCUUAAUUUUAUACAGCUCCAUGUGACAUUAUGAAUACUUAAAAUAUUUGUACAUGUACCUGCAUACUGCCAGCUUUGAGUUAUUUAUUGUAUAUCUUCAUUUUUCUGGCAUGUUGUAAAUUUUGUAAAAAUGAAGUUAAUCUUAUCUUCUCUGUUUGCUUGAGUCAAUUUUUAUGAAUAAAAUACAAAAAAAUUGUAUUACACAAUAUCCAACGU
rnacentral:misc_RNA from 1 species